ACCUGCUGAACUUAAGCAUAUCAAUAAGCAGAGGAAAAGAAACUAACAAGGAUUCCCUUAGUAACGGCGAGUGAAGCGGGAAGAGCUCAAGAUAAGAAUUGUUUGCGGUUAAAUCCUAGCAGACAAAUUGUGAUCUUGCGAUUUAGUACCAGGUUAGAUAAAGGUGAACAAAAGUGUACUGGAACGUACCGCCGUAGAAGGUUAUAGCCCUGUUUAUUGUUCACUAGAUUCAAAAUCUGCCAUACGGUCUAGAUUCAUCGAGUCGCGUUGCUUGGGAGUGCAGCGCAAAGUGGGAGGUACAGAUCUUCUAAAGCUAAAUAAUUGCGAAAGACCGAUAGUGAACAAGUACCGUGAGGGAAAGAUGAAAUAGCACCUGGAAACGGGAGUGAAAUCAGAGCUUGAAAUUGUUAAGAGGCAAAAGCUGAGGAGGCUUUGUCAUUCAUUUAUGAAUUAUGCUUUGUGUCUGGAUCUCGCAAGGGUUACCAGAUACGUUAUAAAGCUGUCAACGCAGUUUAUUUAAAAUUAGUGAUAUCGAUAGUGGCUUGAGGUAGUUAUUUUAUGGCUUGCUAUAAUGUAACACGUAUAGAGGCUAUUAUCAUAAAAGGUUUCACGGAAUGAAUUGUUUGGAUAACACCAAAUGGUAUAAUGCUACUGUUUUGGAGUACUGCAGUGUAACUGUAAAGGUAUUACAGGGUUCGCCCUUUAGUAUCGGUUAUAUUGUAUUAUACUUCAAGCUGAGGUUUAAAAACCAGUUGACAUAUUAAAGGCCCUCAACUACCCGUCUUGAAACACGGACCAAGGAGUCUAACAUCUAUGCAAGUAUUUUGGUAUAAUUUUAAACCAUUAAUAAAUGCGCAGUGAAAGCGAAGGUUGACAUCAAGUCAACUGUAGUGUGAUUUGUCUAUCUUUAUGGUAACAUAACGGUGGCAAUGCAACAUUAACCGAUCGUGUUAAAUUUCCACAGGCAACUGUGUGAUCCGAUUUGAGUUAGAGCAUACGAGUUAGGACCCGAAAUCUUGUGAUCUAAACCUGAACUAUGGUGAAGCCAGUUGAAAAAUUGGUGGAGGCCAGGCAACAGUACUAACGUGCAAAUUGUUUGUUUGAUUUGGGUAUAGGGGCGAAAGACUAAUCGAACAAGGUAGUAGCUGGUUCCCCCCGAAGUGUUCCUUCGAACAGCUGGCGUGAUGAAAUAUAAAUCCAGUUUUGCCUGGUAAAGCGAAUGAUUAGGCAUUUUGGGAGUUCUUUAUGCUCCUGGGUGCAUUCUCAAACUUUUAAUGGGCAAGAUAUACAGUGUUGCAUAGGACAAUCUACGGAACCUGUAUUGUUAAUAGAAUGGAAAGCGCUUAGUGGGCCACUUUUGGUAAGCAGAAUUGGCGAUUCGGAUUGAACCGGACGCGUGAGUUAAGGUAUCAAACUGCUCAUUCAUCUAGAUACUGCAAAAGGUGUUACUCAAUAUGGACAGCAGGACUGUGGUCAUGGAAGUCGAAAUCAGCUAAGAAGUGUGUAACUACUUACCUGCCGAAUUGAGUAGUCCUGAAAAUGGAAGAUGCUAAAAUGAGCGACCUAUACUCGGCCAUUACGUCAACAAGUGUGCAACGCAAGUCAGACGUAAUGUGUAGGGGGGCGUGGGGAUUCAUCAUCAGACGAUGUCGUGAAGCGUUCACCGUGAGGUGAAGCGGAACAAUCCCUAGUGCAGAUCUUGGUGGGAGUAGCAAUGAUUCAAAUGUGAUCCUUUGAAGACUGAAGUGGGGAAAGGUUCCUCGGGAAACGCAUUGUACCGAGGUUUAGUCGAUCCUAACUAUUAAGUUCUAAUCUGAUUUUGAAACGCUGUAUACAGAAGACGGGGUUGGCUACGGUCAUAACCUCGAGCCCUGUAUACAAUAUAGGAAAGGGAAGCAGGUUAAUAUUCCUGCACCUUGCACUGCUUGAAUUACUCGCCCUCACGGGCGACGCUAAUCGGUAACGAAAGAGACGUCCAAGCCACCAGCGCGAUACCCUGAGAGAGAUCUCUCUUCUUUAUUAACAGCUCACGGCUCUGAUGCGUUCAGGGCGUUAUUUAAUUGGUCAAACGGUUGAAUAGAGACACUGUGGAAAUACCUUGCGUAGAGAAACAGUUGCUCAGCUGGAAAAGCACUUUCAUUUUUGAUCUGACCAUAUAUUAGAUUCAAGCUAUCGUGAUGAACACUCUCGUAGUUGUAUAGUGAAUCGGUGUCGGGUGCUAUCGCGAUGGUACGUAAAAAUUGGACUGAUUGUCUGUGCCAAGUCAGUGCAGGUCGUACUCAUAUCCGCAUCAGGUCUCCAAGGUGAACAGCCUCUAGUUUUUGGGUGUAUGCAGGUAAGGGAAGUCGGCAAACUAGAUCCGUAACUUUGGAAAAAGGAUUGGCUCAAAGGGUAACGGGGGAGACUGGGGCCAGCGAACGAAUGCGCUAAUGGGGUCGCGGGUUCGCCCGCAACCACUAACUGGUCUCGGUGCCUCCGAUUUAUUACUAACUUUGAACUGAAACGGACAAGAAAGAAUCCGACUGUUUAAUAAAAACAUAGCAUUGUGAUGGGGAGAAAGUCCUGUUCACACAAUGUGAUUUCUGCCCAGUGCUUCGAAUAUCAACAUGGAGAAAUUCAAACAAGUGCAGGUAAACGGCGGGAGUAACUAUGACUCUCUUAAGGUAGCCAAAUGCCUAGUCAUUUAAUUUGUGACGCGCAUGAAUGGAGCAACGUGAUUCUUACUGUCCCUAUCUGCGACUCAGCGAAACCACUGCCAAGGGAACGGGCUUGGGAAGGACAAAGGGGAAAUGAGUCCCAGUGUGCUUGACUUCAUUCAGACUUUGCGAAUUGACUCGAUUGGUGUAGAAUAUGUGGGAGAGGCAACUCGAUCGUGAAAUACCACAACUUUUGACGUUAAUUUGCUCACUUUAUUAUUAUGUUGUACACCGCAGCGAUGUGGUGUGCUCUGUAUUUACGUGGUAAGCUUUCGGCCGCAAGGUUGGGGGCGAACAUGUUGGUAUAAAGGACCAAGUCUGGUGGGAAGUUUGGCUGGGGCGGCACAUCUGUUAAACAAUAACGCAGGUGUCCUAUGGCGAGCUCAGACAGAACGGAAAUCUGUCGUCGAACA
rnacentral:rRNA from 1 species